rnacentral:rRNA from 1 species
UUAAAGAGAUAGGGUCUUCAUGGCCCGACCUCCACCCUCUGUUGUUAAACUACCUUGUUGCUUUGGCGGGACCGUCUCGGUCUCCGAGCGCACUAACCCUCGGGUUGGUGAGCGCCCGCCAGAGUCCAACCAAACUCUUGUAUUAAACCAGUCGUCUGAGUAUAAAAUUUUAAUUAAAUUAAAACUUUCAACAACGGAUCUCUUGGUUCUCGCAUCGAUGAAGAACGCAGCGAAAUGCGAUAAGUAAUGUGAAUUGCAGAAUUCAGUGAAUCAUCGAAUCUUUGAACGCACAUUGCGCCCCUUGGUAUUCCGAGGGGCAUGCCUGUUCGAGCGUCAUUACACCACUCAAGCAUCGCUUGGUAUUGGGAACGGUCCGUCGAAAGGCGGGCCUUCCUCGAAGACCUCGGCGGGGUUCAACCAACUUCGGGCGUAGUAGAGUUAAAUCGAACGUCUUAUAAGCUUGGUCGGAUCUCAUUGCCGUUAAACCUUUAAAUUUUCUAGGUUGACCUCGGAUCAGGUAGGGAUACCCGCUGAACUUAAGCAUAUCAAUAAGCGGAGG